GACGAACGCUGGCGGCGUGCCUAAUACAUGCAAGUCGAACGCAGUGGGGACGGUUGAGUAACACGUGGGUAACCUCCCAUCAGAGGGGAUAACACUUGGAAACAGGUGCUAAACCGAUACUGAUGGAUGUACCCGCGGGGCAUUAGCUAGUUGGUGAGGUAACGGCUCACCAAGGCCACGAUGAAUAGCCGAACUGAGAGGGUGAUCGGCCACACUGGGACUGAGACACGGCCCAGACUCCUACGGGAGGCAGCAGUAGGGAAUCUUCGGCAAUGGACGAAAGUCUGACCGAGCAACGCCGCGUGAGUGAAGAAGGUUUUCGGAUCGUAAAACUCUGUUGUUAGAGAAGCGGUAGCUAAACAGAAAGCAACGGCUAACUACGUGCCAGCAGCCGCGGUAAUAC
rnacentral:rRNA from 1 species